GGCUGAGUGCGGGGCGGGGGCACGCUGCCCUUCUCGGGUUUGGGUCGUGGGUGAGGAGCUUGGGGAGGUCGGGGUACUGCCGCGGGAGCUCCGAUUUUCCGGACUGUGCGGACACGGCCAGCGGGAACCGCUUCCUGGGAGCCGGCCGUGGCCGUGCGGGCGUCCAGCCGCCCGCGGAAACGUUCACGGGCGGACUGCAGUCGGCUGCCGCCUAGUAAACGCCGUGAGGUCUGCGCUCCUUGCCGUCCCGCUGUAAUGCGGUGCUUCCGUCUCCAUCUCGAGGCCACAUCUAGACUGCCGCGUGCCCCUCACUACAAGAAAGACGUUGAGUGUGUCCAGAGAAGGGCAGCGGAGCCGUGAGGGGUCUGGAGCACAAGUCUUAUGGGGAGCAGCUGAGGGAACUGGGGUUGUUCAGUCUGGAGGAGGCUCAGGGCAGACCUUAUCACUCUCUUUACCAGCCUGAAGGGAAAUUGUGGAGAGGUGACGUCGGCCUCUUCUCCCAGAAACAUGCAGACACUGCUCAGGACCAUACCUUACAGUGGAGCAAAUGGGUUGAAAAACCAAAACAGGGAUGUGAUGACCCCUUCUCUAGCACUGGCUUUGCAUUUCUUUUCCACCAUGUUCCUUCAGCCACCGCUGAGAAGCUCCCUAUAGCAUCACCUCAGAAUUCAGUCACUUUGAGGUUGAGUCAACAGUCCAACAACCCCAGCUGCCUCUCUUCCAGCCCUUCCCAUCCUUGUGACUUGAGGAGUUUACACGCAUCACAGCAGAGUUACAGCUGCACAGAAAUUGACUUGCCAGCAAGUUACUACUGCCUAUCAGCAGAAUUCAGCCAGUGCUGACUUCUCCAGGGAGGGAAUGGAUAAGGUCUCUCCUCUGUCCCAGCCACAGAUUGUCAUAAAACGUGCACACAUUUAACACUUCUGGAAUACUUUUGCCUUUCGGUCGUGUCCAGCUAAAAAAGAUUAAUGGUCAGAAGAUGAUGGGGGGGAGGGAAGGAGGCAAGGGGGCUGGUUUGAUAGACUGACAAAUAGACAAUGUGAUUGCAUCAGUCUCAUUUCCUAAGGAAACUAGGCUAAAAAUAAAAGGCUUUAUUUGCUCCUGGGAAUAAAGCAGAAUGUCUCUCACAUCUUUACAAAACAUUUGUUUCUAUGCAUACUUAUAAACAGUCAGGAUGGGAGAGGAAGUUUGCUCUGAGUUUCGAGAAGAAAAUUACAAGGAAGAGCUAGAGGUGCAUGAAUUUUAAAACCUGGGAUACAUUUAGGCAUACAACACAGCAAUAAAUGCAGAGUCUUGCACACUAGUGCCACAGUACUGAUAAGUCAACUGUUGGCCUGCAAACCAACUUGCCUGUUAGGCAAUUUUUCACCCCUCCACAGAAUGAAUACACUUCUUCUUCAAUGAAGAUGGAUGGUGUGCUUUAGAUCAAACCCUGCGUGCACUCCGAAGUCAGCAGACUCUCACGGAUGUAAGUGAGCAGCACAGAAGUUGCUGUAUUUGAUCAGAUUUACAGUCUAGAGAUUCCUGUCUGAUGGUGACCAAAACCAGCUACUUCAGAGGAAACACUCCCCAGAAAGGUCUCUGUUUUUAUGCAUUCUGCUUAGAAAACGCUUUUUGUUUACGAAAUCUAAAUUUACUAUUUUGCAGUUUCAUCAACUGGUACCAUACUGGAGCUGUGCUUUUAUAGUCGUACUAAUGGACAAGGAACUAAGUAGUUCCACAUCCUCCAGAAACCUCUGAUUGCUUGCUGUGAGACGUGACUACCAACAUAUCAUCCAAAAAAAGGGAACGGUUCAUACAGCCCAGGGGGCCUUCCAUCAUGGCAAAUUGGCUGCGUGGAAGCAUUUGUAUUGUCCAUCUCCUUUGCUUGUGCACUACCUUUUCAUUUUUGCUUCAGUGGCCUAUGCAUGGAAGCCCCUUCUUCAUGAGACAUGCUAUAAUUUGCAUUACAGGAAUACUUAGUAGUCUCAGCGAACACUGUACUAAGGACUAUAGAAACAUGUCAUUAGAGGUGGUCCUUGUCCUGAAAAAAUCAUGUUCAAAAGAUGAACGAUCAGCAUAUUCUGGGGAUAAAAGGAUGCAGCACAAUGCUAGAAGACAAGAAAACCAAUAUAUAUCUCACCUGCAGGUAUAAUUGUUCUUGCCAGGAUUUACGCUCAGCUCAGCUUCAAAUUUGUUCUUGCUUCCCCAGGAUGUUCAGCACGACUUUAGGAAUGGGAUCGCUCUGUCCCAAUGUAGAGGUCAAAAAUAUGACAUCUGACCUCAUCCUUCUACAGUCCAUCUGCAGUCAGCCAAGAGAAUUAGGUGUUUGCAGGAGAACCACUCAUUACUACCCCCAUCUACUGAAAAUAAAUGAUGUUUCCCAUUUCAGAAUUUUGGAACCAAACAACGGUUUUCUUGAUCAUUUCUGGCACUAGCCAAAAGCUAAUGUCUCUGGUGUGGACAGGAAUUGAACUUCACAUAUGUUUUAAUGUAUGACACAAAACACGUGCCCAUGUCUGUCUUAGGUACCUCAUCCGUUGCAUGUUUUAGGAUUCCUUGGGUAACUUCUUAGAAUCAAGACUGGUAUCUUAAUUUCAGCCCAAC
ensembl:lncRNA